AGCCGGCCGGACAGUCGCUGCUGCGGUGUGUGUGUAAACAUACUGCCGCGGGGGAGGAAAGUCCGAGCUCCGCAGGACAGGGCGCCAGGUAACGCCUGGGAGGCGCAAGCCUACGACUAGCGCAACAGAGAACAGACCGCCUGAAGCAAAGCUUUAGGUAAGGGUGAAACGGUGCGGUAAGAGCGCACCGCCCGUGCAGCAAUGUAUCGGGGCAGGGCAAGCUCCGCCCGGAGCAAGAUCGAAUAGGCCUCCGCAUGGUGCGGUCCGUACUAGGAGGCGGGUUGAUUGCUGGAACCUGAGGGUGACUUCAGGUCUAGAGGAAUGGCUGUCGCUGCCACAGGCAGAACAGAACUCGGCUUACAGGCUGGCUCAC
rnacentral:RNase_P_RNA from 1 species